AUGGAGGUAGCAGCAAAAUCGGGAUUAUACAUCCUGGAUGUGGACUUUUGGGAUAAUGAUGCUGGUUUUUCUACUGGGAAUUAUACUACGAGGAAUGGUGAUAUAUUUAUUUUGUCUAGCAUAAAACCUGAAGCUGCAGAGGACUUAAACCGCCAUGGUGUGACAUACUGCUUGGCAAUGGUUACUGAGGUUUCUAUGGAUGAUGAAUACCAGAAGGGCUUCAGAGUCAAAGUUGCAAACAAUAUUGGUUUGGAAGAAGACUUAAACAAACUCAAACAUGCAAUAUUUCUCAGCAAUAUCACGACAAGCAUGCGGAUAUGGAAAGCACUUACCUUUGACACGCACAUAGAUAACAAUUUCACAGUAAUCAAGUCGCUCUUAGCCCCCACAAAUUUGGGUGAGGAUGUUUGUGAUGUCUGUAUUAAACAGCAUGGUGGCUGUUUGGCUUCUUUCACAGAGCAACUACUUUCGAUUAAGCUUAAUCGAUCACAAAUGGAUGCCAUUGAAUCUGUCAUCUCAGCUGUACAGUGUGGGCAUGUGAACCUCAUGAAGCUUAUAUGGGGCCCACCAGGUACUGGAAAGACCAAGACACUUAGUGCUUUAUUGUGGGUUCUGGCACGUUUGAAAUGCAGAACUCUGACUUGUGCUCCCACUAAUGUUGCUGUCAUUGGAGUUUGCACUCGUUUCCUUAAGAAAAUGAAGAAUUUCAGUGAGAUAAUUGAUGAAAAUGGUCUGCCUUUUUCUUUUGGAGAUAUCUUGCUGUUUGGAAGCAGGUCUAACAUGGACAUCACCGAGGAUCUUCAGGAAGUUUACUUGGAUUUUCGUGUUGAUGAACUUGCGGAAUGCUUUUCAUCGUCGUCUGGAUGGAACUACCGAAUAGCUUCGAUGGUAUCCUUUUUUGAAGACUCUGUUUCACGGUAUGAUAUGCUUCUUGAGGAUGAUGGCAAAAUUGAUCCAGUGUGCUUUCUGGACUUCAUAAAGAAGCAAUUUGAUGCAACAGCAAUAGCUCUGAAAAGAUGUGUAAUGAGUUUGUGGGUUCACCUUCCUGGAAGAUGCUUUUCUCAUGAUAGUGUCAUAAAUAUAUCUAUGUUGCUUAAUAUGCUAGAAAAAUUUAGCACCCUUCUGUGCAAAGCAGACUUGACCGAUGAGAGCUUGAAAAGGGGCCUUGGUUGUCUGUCUACUGUAAACUCUGUUUGUGUAAAGUCUAUAUCUUCACUUGAGAAGGAACUGGAUGGAGCAAGGUCCACAUGCCUUAAAUUGCUUAAAGAUCUGCUACACUCUCUUAACUUACCUACUGGAGUAGACAAAAACUGGGUGAAGAACUACUGCAUACGUAAUGCAACACUUCUUUUCUGUACUACCUCUAGUUCUUAUCACUUACAUGACAUGAAUAUUGCACCCCUCGAUGUAUUAAUUGUUGAUGAGGCUGCUCAAGUACGGGAGUGUGAACUGGUGAUCUCACUACGGCUACAUUUGCUAAAACAUGUUGUUUUGGUAGGGGAUGACUGUCAGCUGAGUGCGAUGGUUAAAAGCAAAGUAUGUAAAGAAGCUGGAUUUGGAACAAGUCUUUUUGGGAGAUUAAUUGCUCUAAAAGUUGAAAAACAUUUGCUGAAUAUACAGUAUCGCAUGAAUCCUUGUAUCAGCUUAUUUCCAAAUGCUCAGUUUUAUGAGAGGAAGAUCUUAGAUGGUUCCAGUGUCCUAUCUCCUAGCUAUAAUAAGGAUUACACAUGCCUCCCUUUUGGCAGCUACACGUUUAUAAAUGUCACUGAUGGAAGGGAAGACAAAGAGGGCGGAAACAGUCGGAGAAACAUGGUUGAAGUUGCUAUUGUUUUGCACCUAAUCCACACCAUCUUUAAAUCAUGGAAAAAGACAGGCCAAGGUUUCAGCAUCGGUGUGGUCUCUCCAUAUAAUGCUCAAGUUGAUGCAAUCAAAAUUAGACUUGGCAAAAAAUACGAUGCAUGCGAUGGCUUUAAUGUGCGGGUGAAGUCCAUUGAUGGUUUCCAAGGAGAAGAGGAUGAUAUAAUAAUACUAUCAACUGUUAGAUCCAAUGGGAGAGGAGUUGUUGGAUUUCUUGCUGAUAACCAAAGAACAAAUGUUGCUCUUACUAGAGCAAGGCACUGUCUUUGGAUUGUUGGGAAUGCUCAUACACUGUAUAAAAGUGGAACCGAAUGGACAGAUCUUGUUGCUGAUGCAGAAAGGCGGAAAUGUGUUUUCAGUGCCACUAAUGACGCAACCAUCUGUAGGUUGGUUUUGCAAGUAAAGCAAGAGCUUGAUGAACUUGAUGAUCUUCUGAAUGCCUAUUCAGUGGUUUUCAGCAAUACCAGAUGGAAGGUCAUUCUUAGCGAUGAGUUUAGGAAGACUUUCACCAAACUAAAAUCACCACAGCUCAGGAGGGAAGUACUCCAAAAGCUUAUCAAACUUGGACGUGGUUGGAGGACAACAAUUAAGAACCUCGAUAUACCUGGUGUUUCUCAUCUUCCAAAAGUAUACAAGGUUAGGGACCUGUAUCUUGUAUGGAGUACUGACAUGGAGAAAACCGAAAGAAGGUAUUUCCAGAUAAUUAAAAUUUGGGACCUACAAUCACAGCAAAGUGUUGCAAGAACGGUUCAACGUCUCGAGAAUUUGUUUUCCAUGUACACGGAUGAUUACCUGGAUCACUGCAGGAGAGUGCAAACACAGGGGAAACUGGAGGUUCCUAAGGUUUGGGAUGUUGGGCAUGAUAUUAUUCGCUAUAACAUGGAUUGCAAAGUUGAUGCUCAUGAAGAGCAUGAUCUCGCAGAUACAUCAUAUGCCAUUGAGAAUUCAAAAGUUAGUGAAAGCUUCUUGCUGAUGAAGUUCUACUCUUUAUCAUCUGGAAUGGCAAAGCAUUUGCUGACAGCUACUGAUGGGUCUGAAAUCAACAUCCCCUUUGAACUGAGUGAUGAAGAGCGGGUGGUAAUCCAAUUCCCGCUCACUAGUUUUAUACUUGGGAGGUCGGGCACCGGAAAAACUACUGUAUUGACAAUGAAACUGAUUCAAAAAGAGCAACUGUCAUUGAUUGCAUCCCAAGGUCUAAAUUUGGAUGGAGCUGAUUUGUCUGUGGUGGAUGAAAAUAAUAUUAUGCCACUAAAGAAUGAAGGAGAAAGUUCUGUGAAACAAGUAUUUAUCACUGUGAGCCCAAAGUUAUGUUCAGCCAUAAAAGAUCACAUCUGCAGACUUAAAACGUAA
rnacentral:rRNA from 1 species